rnacentral:RNase_P_RNA from 1 species
CGAGUUGGCCGGGCGGCCGCGGACCGGAGACGGUUCGAGGAAAGUCCGGACUUCACAGAGCAGGGUGAUUGCUAACGGCAAUCCGAGGUGACUCGCGGGACAGUGCCACAGAAAACAGACCGCCACCGCCGAGCUUUCGGGCACUGCGGUGGUAAGGGUGAAACGGUGCGGUAAGAGCGCACCAGCAUCCCGGGUGACCGGGGUGGCUCGGUAAACCCCACCCGAAGCAAGGCCAAGCAGGCCGCACCCGGUGCGGCUGCGCAGGCGCCCGAGGGCUGCUCGCCCGAGCCUGCGGGUAGGCCGCUCGAGGCACCCGGCAACGGAGUGUCCAGAUGGAUGGUCGCCGCCGCCCCGUCAGCAAUGACGGAGCGGAACAGAAUCCGGCUUACAGGCCAGCUCGUCCG